UACGGAAGGGGCGAGCGUUGUUCGGAAUCACUGGGCGUAAAGCGCACGUAGGCGGACUGUUAAGUCGGGGGUGAAAUCCUGGGGCUCAACCUCAGAAUUGCCUCCGAUACUGGCAGUCUCGAGUGCGGGAGAGGUGAGUGGAAUUCCCAGUGUAGAGGUGAAAUUCGUAGAUAUUGGGAAGAACACCAGUGGCGAAGGCGGCUCACUGGCCCGUAACUGACGCUGAGGUGCGAAAGCGUGGGGAGCAAACAGG
rnacentral:rRNA from 1 species